AAUUUCUGUCUUUCUUUCAUUGUGUUCGAGUGAUUAAUGUCUGUCGUAUUGCUCUUCCGGUUUGAAGCCUCGUUGCAAAUUGAGUAACCAUUUCGAAGUGUGAAUAAGUUCACUCAACAGAAAGAUCUAUGAGAACCUCCCUAUAUUACCGAUGAGACACAGUACAGUGCGCCACCUAUUCAGAACAAAUAAUCCACAUUUUCGGAGCCACAGACUAUAUUGCAAGCAGUAUAAGUACCUUCCUAAACGCAGCGAGCACAAGACUAUUAUCCGUAUUCCUAAAAACCCGAAGAAAUUGCAGAAAUCUCUUUACGUAAGAAGAGGAAGACUUCCCUCCUACAGGAAAGUAAACUAAAAACAAAGCAACUAGA